rnacentral:sRNA from 16 species
UAAGUUAUAUGCCUUUAUUGUCACUGCUUUAUUAAGCCGUUUUUCUGCCCGGCAGAGCAAUGGUAUUAAUGACAAGCCCGAACAGAUGUUCGGGCUUUUUUUUGGCUUAUU